rnacentral:lncRNA from 1 species
AUUCGAGAAGAUGAUAAGAGAAGCACAAGAUAAAGUGUGUAAUGCAAUUGAACAAGCUGAUGGUGGUGGAAAAUUCAAAGAAGAUGUUUGGUCAAGACCUGGUGGUGGUGGUGGGAUUAGUAGAGUUCUUCAAGAUGGUGCUGUUUGGGAGAAAGCUGGUGUUAAUGUUUCUGUUGUGUAUGGUCAAAUGCCACCUGAUGCUUAUCGUGCUGCUAAGGGUGCUGCCGCCGCUUCCAGUGAUCAGAAGCCCGGGCCUAUUCCUUUUUUCGCAGCCGGAAUUAGCUCUGUAAGUAUCCUUUUUUUUUUUCCAUCAUUUUAAGUAUCAAUUACCAAUUAUAUUCCAACAUUUUAUAAUUCAUUCCUAUAUAGAUAGAUAUAAAUGUUCCUUUGGUUAUGCGGU